UAGUUGGAUCUAGGGACGCGCAUUUCAAGCGCCCGUGCCAUCGGGUCAAACCGGUGGCUGCGUUGGCGUUGCGGGCUCGGUCCGUCGGUGCCCCACAAAGGGCUACUGGCGUGUCAACCGGCCCGCCCGUCCCCUCCUUCUGGAUUCCCGUUCCUGCUAUUGAGUUAGUGGGGACGUCACAGGGGGUCCAUCGUCGUGCGGCGUCAAAACCGUGCGGCGGUGGGUCCCUGGGGCCCAGAUCGUUUACCGUGAAAAAAUUAGAGUGUUCAAAGCAGGCAGAUCCAAUUUUCUGCCACCGAAUACAUUAGCAUGGGAUAAUGGAAUAGGACCCUGUCCUCCUAUUUUCAGUUGGUUUUGGCAGCGCGAGGACUAGGGUAAUGAUUAAUAGGGAUAGUUGGGGGCAUUAAUAUUUAAUUGUCAGAGGUGAAAUUCUUGGAUUUAUGAAAGAUUAACUUCUGCGAAAGCAUCUGCCAAGGAUGUUUUCAUUAAUCAAGAACGAAAGUUAGGGGAUCGAAGACGAUCAGAUACCGUCGUAGUCUUAACCAUAAACGAUGCCGACCAGCGAUUAGGAGACGUUGAAUACAAAACACCACCAUCGGCGCGGUCGUCCUUGGCGUCUCGGUCCUUCACGGGGCCGGGGCGCGGGGGCGGCUUAGCCCGGUGGCACCGGUGAAUGACUCCCCUAGCAGCUUGUGAGAAAUCAUAAGUCUUUGGGUUCCGGGGGGAGUAUGGUCGCAAGGCUGAAACUUAAAGGAAUUGACGGCAAG
rnacentral:rRNA from 1 species